GUCUCAACCCACGAGUUUUACUUGUUUUUUCCCUAUUCUCUCCCCCAUCCCACUGGGUAGGGGGGGAGUGAGCGACCGCCUGCGUGGGGCUUAGUUCCCGUCUGGGGCUAAACCACGACACCAUGACUGCUUUUUUUUUUUUUUUUUUUUUUUUUUUUUUUUCCCACAGAUGUAACUUCUGAGGCUGAUGACUCAAUUUCUGAAGCUGCUGGUACCUAAGGGCCUUGCAGAGAAUCCCCACCUUUUUUCCCAGCAGACAGCCUCUGUGUCUGGUUUAAGGUGCCUGUGUGGGAGAGAACUCAGUCGACAGUUCAGCCUGGUUUCCAAGAAGCCUUCAGGUCUUGGAUGAUGCAGUACAGACAUCUUCCACCUCUAGGCUAUGUCCGCACUGCUAAAAGGCAUCUGCUCCGGGGAAUGGUGCCCAGCUCCCAGCCUGCAGAUAUACAGCAGGAUCACACAGACUUACCAUGACAAGUGUGUGAAGAACUGUAGAUUGGAGCAGUAGAACGAAUAAAUCAAUCUGAAAUUAUCAGCUGAAUGGUACACCUUGUCCCCAGCAAGUGGAAACUUUAAAAGGAGAUGUUUAAAAAAGCUGAAGAUUAUCCUGGAGAGGAUUGCCUGAGAAGAUCCAGCUUUCGGUUUCCCUUUCAAGGUCACUGAUGUCACCUGAGAGUCUCUCCCACUUCUCUCCAGUCAGAGGUUUGUGUACGAGUGGAAAUUCCCCAGCACUCCUCAGACCAUCCUUUGACCUUCUUGUCACAACUCCUGUCCUGGCACCCGCAAGGCAACAAGCCGUCCUGCUCGCUCUAACUGGGUCACAGAUGGCCCAAGCCACAUUCUUCACUUACUCACUGAAGGAACGUCCAUGAGAUAAAUUAGAACAGAUGUACGGCAACUUUUUCUUUUGGCAUUUACACCACCCUCUGGUCUAAUUAAUCCUGACAUUGUGACCAUCAUAAUACGAACUGCAUCGAAGGAAUGCAAUAGCAGAUUGUCCUCUUGAUGGCAAAUAUGCUUAUUUUCCCUUCCUGUGAGACAUGAUUUUUCCCUUUCUGUGAGGCAAGCUCUUAUUUUCUCCUGCUAUCUCUAAACUUAUAACAAAGAGACAAAACAUCGUGAAGCCCUUACGCUGAGGUUUGUUUAAAUUCCCAUGAAGGGAGAGCAGAUACAUUUAGGAAAAAAACAGUCUACUUUCACACAUCUCUUCUGAUACAGAAUUCCCUAUCAGAAUUCUCAUUUGUUUUUCUGGUAAUAAGGUACCAUGCUAACAAUUUUGGGUACCUGUUAAUAAUAUAUGUGGCAGUUAUACAUAUUUUAUACUAAAGGCUGUCUUAAAAGCAACAUCUUUAUAGGUAAUAACCUGCUUAGAAAAACACUUUCUUGAAUUAUUUAUACUUGUUUGGAGCAACAAAAUCAACUAUCUUUUUAUAAGGUCAGGUACCAAACAAGAGCCAUUAAUAAUAUAGUUACCUAUCUUGGGACUAAGGUGGCUUAAUAUUUAUUUUUUAAUCACAUAGGAAAGACAGUUUGCUGCAAUAUAACUAACCAAGCAAGACUUGUCUAUAAAGCAUUCUAAUGUGACUUCAUAGGUUAAUAGAAAAUUUACUAAAAGGAAAAUGCCUGAGAAUGCUUUCACAUACAGAGAUAAGGGGAAAGGGAAAAAUAGUAAGUUUUGCAAAAACUCGCCUCUUUCUGUGAAACCUUUAAAAAUAACAAGUUCUGACAAAAAUGUUGUUUUGAAAAAUUUACAAAACUCUAUUAACAUUUUGGGUCAAUGGUGAUAACAAACAUCAUCAGACUGAUAAAGAAAAAAGAAAUCUGCCCCAAAUCUAGCCCCAUAGGGAGAAUCAAAUGGGCAGAAGUCUUGCCUAAAUGGACAAUGCCAAAUGUAAUCGCCCUGAUUCUUCAUUGCCUUAGGCUUGUUGCCAUUGCCUGUAAAGACAGUCUAAAAUUCUAUCGGUAGUUUACGGUGUUUUCACGCAGUCUGUGCCAAGUAUUCUUUAUCACUAUUCAUAUCAUCCCACGAGAAGAGGGGAUCUUCCUGGGGCAGUUCCUUGUGAGCAGCCCGUUGUCCAACGAUCUUCAUGCCUCUUGCAGGAUCAAAGUCUCCAGGGCCUUUGCUUUUGGUCCUAUCUGGAAUGGACAGUACAAGUUGCAUCACUGGAGAAGUUCCACGGGAACCAUGUGGGAGCAGGUUUGUGUAACUCCAGGCCUGUCCUUUCCCUACCUACCUUGGCUCUGCCUUUUGAGGAAUCCUGGAGAGGAGCAGCCACAGAGAUAGCUGAUAAUUCCUGUGUGGAAGAGGGAAAGAUGCAUUCAUGGGAAUACUGGCAUUUAGCAGCUUUUGUCAAUAAUGGUUUUGCAAUACUGCCGUACUCCAAGCAUCGGAAAUAGCAGUGAGCUGUUUCUGUUUCCUCACUGAGUGAUUCCCAAAUCCCAAAACAGCUUUCAAUAUCAAUUUCUGAAUGCCUUCUGAGAAAAUGUUCCCAUGAAACCAUAAAAAAGAAAUUCUCCAUUGGCUUCCAUUUCAAUGCCAAAGCUACUCCCCUUCUGGCACAAAUUUCGUGUUACUUCAUGUAUGUCACUGGAGAUAAUUUACAUAGACAAUA